UACGAAGGGGGCUAGCGUUGCUCGGAAUCACUGGGCGUAAAGGGUGCGUAGGCGGGUUUUUAAGUCAGGGGUGAAAUCCUGGAGCUCAACUCCAGAACUGCCUUUGAUACUGAAGAUCUUGAGUCCGGGAGAGGUGAGUGGAACUGCGAGUGUAGAGGUGAAAUUCGUAGAUAUUCGCAAGAACACCAGUGGCGAAGGCGGCUCACUGGCCCGGUACUGACGCUGAUGUGCGAAAGCGUGGGGAGCAAACAGG
rnacentral:rRNA from 1 species